UGGAGUCGGAGGAUCAAGGGCCACCACACAGACGGGACCAGGAAAUGAACUACAAGUGUCGUGUUCCUAGUGUCGAGCCAAUCCUGAACCACAGACGUUACAAGCUUCUCACCUGGACUAAGGAAAAACAACUGGACCAUUGCUCAGUGAAAACUACAUUUUGAAUUUCAUUUGUAAAUCAAGCUCCCAGAGUCUGGAGGGGGAUCAGGGAGGCACAGAAUCCAAGGUGCCUGAAGUCCAGUGUUUUCAGUUUUCACCAUCAGUGAUGGUUUGAGGUGUCAUUUCAUCUGCUGCUGUUGGUCAGCCGUCUACCUAAAGAUUUUAGAGACCUGCAUGCUUCCAUCUGCUGAGAAGCUUAAUGGAGAAACUGAUUUCCUUUUCCAGCAGGACUUGGCACCUGCCCACAGUGAAGCCAAAACUACCACAAACUGGUUUGCUGACCAUGGUGUUACUGUGUUUGACCGACCUGAACCCCGUAGAGAAUUUCUGAGGUAAUGUCAAGAAGAAGAUGAAAGACACCAGACUCAACGAUGCGGACGAGCUGAAGGCUGCUGUCAGAGCUACAGUGCCACGGACGGAUUGGCUCUAUGCCACGUCACAUAGAUGCACAGGUAGUGCUGCCGUUGAACGCAGCUUCCACUCAGCCCCCUUCCUCUUCACUCCAAUCAGACCAGCUUAUAGAGGCACCUGCAGCCAUGCCCAGGCCUCUUGCUCCUGCCUAUGCUGUGUGGUAUGGAUGCUGCUGCUGCUUUUGCUGUUUGAAGCUCUGACCUCCUGGUAUUCUGGACAUGGCACCCCAGCAUGCUUGUGAAACAGCACGGUGAGGCUGCAGCACUUAGCUGGGAGGCUAAACACUUGAAAUGUGAAUCUUUAAGUAAGUCAAGGUUUGAUUCAGCCCCCAUUCUGGGGGUCAUGAUUUGAUUAAGGAUCUAUUUUCGAUUCAAACCAAUUCCCGAUUCACAGCACAUCGUCUGUUUCUUAGUGACGAUUUCAGCAUCUGCUUGGGUCUGUGGUGCAUUAAGAAGGCUGUAUGUUAUUAUUUGACAUUUAAAAGCAUAAUAAAGUCUGCUCAAAAUAA